UACCAGCACCCCGAGUGGUCGGGACGAUUAUUGGGCCUAAAGCAUCCGUAGCCGGUCCUGCAAGUCUUCCGUUAAACUACCAGCUGCUCAACAGAAUGGGCGUGCGGGGGAUGACUACAGGGCUAGGAGGCGGGAGAGGCAAGCGGUACUUUAUGGGUGAGGGGUAAAAUCCGUUGAUCCAUAGAAGACCACCAGUGGCGAAGGCGGCUUGCCAAUACGCGCUCGACGGUGAGGGAUGGAAAGCUGGGGGAGCAAACCGGG
rnacentral:rRNA from 1 species